rnacentral:lncRNA from 1 species
UGUAGAAAUAAAAAGUGCAGAUUUAUGAGAGGGGAUGGGUCUACCUGGAGUGACUUGAGGAAUACCCAGAAGACCCCGUCCACCUCCUCCUGCUUAGAAUAUGCCUUUUGCUAGCCUGCUGUGAUGCCUGGAAUUUCAUCCUUCACCCAUUGCUGGGCCCACCCACAUAGUUUAAAGCCAAGAUCAGGACAGAGAUGGAGGGAGCUGUCCCCUGGCCACCCUGAUACCUGCUGUUGGAAAUCAACAAACACAAACCCACUUUGUGUUCUGUGAGUGUGUAUGUAUGUUGGUCCCUAGGUGCUGCAGGACAAGAGGAGGGCCAGAAAGCUCUGCCCAUGCCUGGGGAGCAUGCUGGAUCUCCCUUCCAGCUACAGAAGAGGUCUAUGGUUUCUUAGACAUGCGUGGAUUCUCACAGCCACCACCACAGACAGUACAAGCAACAGUUCUAAUACUCCAGAGAACGCCCUCAUCUCUCCUCACCCCUGCCUUCUGGCAAGCAAUGAGCUGUUCUCUGUUCCUGUAUUUUUGCCUUUUCUAGAAUGCCAUAUAAAUGGAAUUAUAUAGAA